ACGAGUUUUAAUUGUUAGGUUAGAGUUGAGCUGGUUAAUCUAAUUAAUAUGUGCUUACUCUAAUCGAAACAAGUCCACUCAUUACUUAACACUUGUGAACUUAUCAUUACAAACAUAUUAUUGUUAUUGGAACGUUGAUAUUAAAAGUUAAUA
rnacentral:misc_RNA from 1 species